rnacentral:lncRNA from 1 species
GCUUCAUUUUUAGAGACGGAAAAGAACAUCCGGGGCCGGAUCUAGUAUGUCAAGAAAUUCAACUUGAAUAUUGGGGGGAAGGUGGAGGGGGAGGUAAGCCUGAUAAUCCAAUCACAUUGUCACAAAUUUAUGGUCAUCAGAGGAAAAAAACAUACAAGUGCCACAAUCAUAAAACAGUAAACCAGAUAACAUAGAGCACGUGUACAAUGGUAAACUCAGCAAUAUAUAAUCCAUAAUUUCACAAAGACUAAUUAGUCCAUAAUAAAUUAAUAAUCCAUAAGAGUCUAACUGUCUAAGACCAAACAUCAACAGCAUGGAGUCAAAAACUUAAGCACUGAUUUCGAAUGAGUCAACACUCAACAUGCACAACAGGGCAGUAGGCAGUACAGCAACAUGCCAACAUGCAGGUCAAGCAUUGUGCAACAGAGCCCCCAAUAAAAGCAUUAGCCUACAAUGUCAACAAUGAUCCAUCAACACACAUUUAUAGCAUUAUAUAGCACAUGUUGAAAUAUGUAGCUAUUAGAAAUUUUAGUAUAUAAAUAGGUGGAAUGGAAUAGGAAGAAAUUGCACACAACUGUUGUAAGAAUCUGUUCCAUUUUACCUGUAUAAUUGGUCAAAGAUGAUGCUCAUCAAUAUGUUCUGCCUUUCUUUUGUCGUAACUGAAAUUUAUAACGCUGCCAUGGUUUAAUAAUGCACACCAUAUAUGUACGUGAUCUAGGGAGGAAUAAUGCAGAAAUUGUAUAUCGUAUAUUCACGACUUGUUCUACAAAAUAUUACAUCUUCUUAUCUAAAGUAGCUUCAAACAUUCAAAUUAAAUCAUAUCGUCAAACUUAACUGCCAGUUGCGUUCAUCCAACCAGCGCCACAGCCAAUUUAAUUGAUCUAUAUUUUUUCAGCCCAUCUUCUUUUGCUCAAAUCCUAUAGGCUUCUGUUCUCUUUCACUCUCAGUGGCCUUCUUUCUUCCUCUUGAAAUGUUACUAGUACAACAGCUUAAUUACAGUAUCAACUCAAGGUAAUCAAACAAUAAGGAAUAUAUAUGGGGACAGACCAUACUUGUCUAUGGCUUAUCAAAUUACAUUGAGUAUAUGCUCGGAAUUUAAACCAAUGACAACAACUUAUUGCAAGAAGAUCUUCAAAGGACAAACUUGAGAAAAUUUAAAUAGGCUUUAUAUUGAAAGUUUCCCCAAAAUAAGGUCUCAUCUAAGAUUGAAGUUUCAAUUUAACCUCACCAUCUUUCUAACUGUCUAAAAGUCUAGAAUUACAGGCAGGACAAGCUUAUUUUCUACAUUCCUCAUCUUGGUGGACCUUCACCUUAAUACUAAGAUAGUAACAGCUUGUAUAUCACUCAAUUAUCACAGACAUGACACAUUGAACAUUCUAACCAAAUAAUUGUGAGCCAUUCUACUCCAUAAACAUGAUUCUUUUUACUUCAGCAUUUUCUGUUUAGUUCUUUUAACCUGUUCACUUACGUUCUAUAAAUCUCUCAUUUGCACUGUUCCCAAAUCGUCCAAACAAGGAUGAUAUGGGGAGGAAUAAUGUAGAAAUUGUAUAAUCUCAUCAACUUUAAAUAAAGAUACAAGCAGAAACAUCACAAUACUAUUGAAUCAAACAAAUAAAUAACCUCUAAAAUAUUGAUUACAUAGUAGUUCAUCCAAAAUAAGUAGAUGGGAAAUCGUAAAUAUCAGUAUUAAUACUUUAGAACUCACAAUUGAAGGAAUAACAAGUAGUAAAGAUAAGAUUUCGUUUAGGCUCGAAGUCAGAGAUGAGGUUCUGUCGUUCGGAGGCGGAGUGGAGUCGCGACGUCCGACGUGGAAUUUGGGGACUGGGGUUUUAGCUUUUAGGUUAGGGAGUUAGGGUAAAAACAGAGAUGAGAGAUCGAGAUCGAGAUUUGAGGGAUGAGAGAUCGAGAGACGAGAGGGAUGAGAGAUGUCAGAUGAGAGAUCGAGAGUUCGAGAUGAGAGGGAAGUGAUGACUGAUGACCGAUGAGGCGAAGAGAGGUAGAGAGUUUGAGAUCUGGGCUGGGCUAGUGCGGUAGUGCCUAGUGGCCUGAGA